rnacentral:rRNA from 1 species
UACAGAGGGUGCAAGCGUUAAUCGGAAUUACUGGGCGUAAAGCGUGCGUAGACGGUUAUUUAAGUCAGGUGUGAAAGCCCAGGGCUCAACCUUGGAAUUGCAUUUGAGACUGAAUAGCUAGGGUGCGGAAGAGGGAAGCGGAAUUUCCGGUGUAGCGGUGAAAUGCGUAGAUAUCGGAAGGAACACCAGUGGCGAAAGCGGCUUCCUGGUCCAGCACCGACGUUCAGGCACGAAAGCGUGGGGAGCGAACAGG